rnacentral:rRNA from 1 species
UGCGGAAGGAUCAUUAUUGUACAACAGAGGUGCCAAAGGCUGUCGCUGACCUUUAAGGGGUUGUGCACGCUAGUGUACUCUCACAAUCCAUCUCACACCUUUGUGCAUCACCGCGUGGGCCCUUUCCCUCCCUUGUGAGGGGAGAGAGAGAGCUUGCGUUUUCACAUCAAACUCAAUACAGUGUAGAAUGUAUUAUUUGUGCGGUCACACGCAAUCAAUACAACUUUCAACAACGGAUCUCUUGGCUCUCGCAUCGAUGAAGAACGCAGCGAAAUGCGAUACGUAAUGUGAAUUGCAGAAUUCAGUGAAUCAUCGAAUCUUUGAACGCACCUUGCGCCCCUUGGCAUUCCGAGGGGCACACCCGUUUGAGUGUCGUGAAAUCAUCAAAACCCUUUUCUUUUUGAGAGAAAGGGGUUUUUGGACUUGGAGGUUUGAUGCUUGCUUUCACUUUUGAAAGCAAGCUCCUCCCAAAUAAAUUAGUUGGGUCCGCUUUGUUGAUCCUUGACGUAAUAAGAUGUUUCUACGUUUUGGAUGUGGCAUUGUCAUUUGGAUGCCUGCUUCUAACUGUCUCAUGGACAAUGAUGGUGCUCCGGUCACUGCCACUUUACAUUGGCAGGGAGGCUUGGCCCCACAAAUGAACCCUUGACCUCAAAUCGGGUGAGACUACCCGCUGAACUUAAGCAUAUCAAUAAGCGGAGGAAAAGAAACUAACAAGGAUUCCCCUAGUAACUGCGAGUGAAGCGGGAAAAGCUCAAAUUUAAAAUCUGGUG